rnacentral:lncRNA from 1 species
UCUACUCUGGUUACUCCCCGCCACGGCUUCUUGCCUCAUUGAUUUCACCUUUAGGAUGGCAUAGUUCUUAGGGAUCUUUCUCCGUUUCCACUUUGUUAAUAAACUUCUUAACAUAUUAUUCUUCGAAUAAUUCUACUAUAAAGUAACUAAUAUGAAUUCAUUUUAUCAUAUCAUGAUUGUUGGGAAUUAUGAAUUUAGCUAUUCAUAAUCAUAAAUAAAUAUACCUGUUCGGGUAGUUUUGAUAUUUCUGAAGUUUGUUCCUCCAUAGCUUUUUCCAUUGAAA